AAAAGGGGGGGGGGGGGGGCAAGUGUGAGCUGUAGUACCAAUCCAGGGGGCUAAUGAUCACGAUGUUGGCUGGAGGUGGGGAGGGGAGACCAAUGAAAAUCGAUAGCACUACGCCACGACAUGACGUGACGGCCAGAUGGGCUAUCUCCCAGUGGGUGGAAACACAGGUGAAGGAGACAAAACCUCUCAAAUCUAUGGCUGCUAUGACGUCAUGUCAGCCAAGCUACACUUACACAGAAACACGUGGUUACAGAAUGUGACAGAGCAGCAUCUUUAGGAGCUGAAUCUGGAUACGCUACCUUACAUUAAUUGAAACUUUGUACGACCAAUGAACUGACAGAGAGAGCUAGACCCA